AUCUGCAGAGAUGUACAGCUGGUGGAUGGAGAAGCUUUAAGGAGGUUUUGUGAUUGUAAAAGCCUCUUCGCUCAUCACGACUGUUUGGUUACAUGGAUCAGAACGGGGCCUAAGAACAAGAAUUGGUUCAGGUGUCGCCUCUGUAAAGCAAAGUGCAUCCAAUUUGUCUUCUGCUGCUGACAGACUCCAGAUUUGCAUCCAAGGAGAGCACGCCUCUGCCCACGCCUUCUUUACACAUGCACAGCCGUCCUCUUCUCGUCCGUGCUUCCUGCACAGGCGUCUCUUCUGCCAAUCAGGGUCCUUACACAGCGUAUGAAGACCCACCCACAUCCAGUCCCCCCCCCCCGCAUCCAGUCCUUCCCCCGCAGAUACGGUGGCCAAUUAGUAUCUGCUGCAAGCAUUGCCAAUAAUGCCCACUAGAUGGUGCCCAGCCGACCGGUGGCAACACGGAGCCUCGAAAAAGACAGAAACUCGGUGCUGGUGCGAGAGCGGAAUAUCCCACUGCGCCACCUGGGUGCCUGUCUGCCUGUCUUUUUGUCUGUCUUCUCUUAAUUCUCAGGA